UUGGUCCGGAGAGUUCUGUGAGAAAGAAGGCAAAUACAGAAGUUGACCUGUCUGCUGUGUUUUGGUUACUUCUCCCUAUGUGCUGAUCUCCAACUCGUGAAAGUCCUGUUGGGAAGGAAAGCACCAGGAGUCCCAAAAGAAGUUCCUUAAAAAGGCAGUUGUGGAGUGUUAGACACAGCACUUGACCUAACACCUGCAGAUCUACUCUGUGCUCCUAGCUGACCUGCUGUUAGCACUGAGGGAUACUACAGUGCCUUGUGUACCAGCUGUCUGCUCUGCACUGGAUACUGCAGUCCAGCCCCAUCUGCAGUGAUAUAGCAUGGCCCUUAAACUGCCAGCCAGAUGUGCAGUCGAGGUGCAAAGUAGAAGACGCAGGCUGCAAGGAAACUGCCAAAAGAAUCAAGCUGCCAGAAGAAUGACAGAGCACAGAGUAGCAAUAAAAAGUAGCCAAAUGAGUGAAUGACCACAUGGAUUGAAAACAGCAAACAAACAUAAAGGACUAAACAAUGUAUCACUAAUGAAAGAAAACUGCCUCAACAUAUGGCUUAUGCCACAUAUAACUCUCAGACUUAACCUAUUUCCCAUUGUAUCUGUAUUUCCCAAUAUGGCAUGAGUUAUGAUCGUAAGUCGCAUACACAGAAUUUUUUCUUUUUUAAUAUUCUUUACUCACCACUUUGCAACAGAGGGGCCAGAACCACCACAGAAGACCGAGCGCCACCAAAAGCAACAGCACAAGAACAGCAAUAAGUGCUGCUAUUCCACUUGACUGUGAAGAAAGCAGAAAGACAAUGAUGUCAGUAAUGUUGUGAACAAUUCCUGUCUGGUGUUCCCACUCACCCAAAACCAGCUCCCUACUGACUGACACAACCAAACAAAUGGUUCCCACUCAUUGACUCCACUUCUUGCCAAAAUUCCUCAGAAAAAAAGCUCUUUACAAAGCAUCAGAAAGCGGUCUCAGCCAAAUUUAUAUAUGGUGCAGAUUCAGUGACACCUGCCAGUGAAAGUCUCUUCAGUUCCACCAGUUAUGCAGUAGGAUGACUAGGACACAUCAAAAGGUGUUAAAAUUGUUAAAUGAGCCGUUGUUAGAGAUUACAGGAUCAAACUAAAAGCUGCCUCUGGAAAGGCUAUUGUCCACUCAAAGUUAGUGGCCACUGGGAGGAAAGAUGUAGAAAGAGAAUCUGACCAGGGCUGCAGAAGGUUGUGUGUGAAAAAAAGCACUCCACAUACAGUCAUGGAGCUUUCAAAGACAGCCUGCUCCGCAGGACAAGAAAUGCCAGGAUACCUCUACCUAGAUAAUAACCAGCUGUCUGAUGGGUCCAGUAUCUUGGUCUGUUUGCAGUCUCUCCAGCGGUAAUAAGUCUGUUUUUUUAGGCAGAAAAUGCCAAGAAACCAACUGUUAAGACACAAAUAGAGUCUUCUUUUACGUCUGUGGAUCAGAAGCGGUCGCCUCUUCCAGCAAGGACUCACGUCCGUAAUGAUGAUUGGACAGGUGGAAUUUUAAAGAAUUUUUACUAACAGUACAUAUCUUCCAGUCAGGUUUUUAUGCUUAUGGCCCACACAUGGUGGGUAAGUAAUAAGCCAGACUACUAAUUCACAGCGCACAGACUACACCAUAGUAACUGCCUUUGGAGUAUUGGCAUUUGAACCUGAAGCCACCUAAGAAAUUCUUGGCGACUUCCAUUGCUUCCACUACAUACCACUUUUAAUGAGUAGGUGACUAGACCAUUUCCCACCAUCUUAAACCCACAUCCUGUAGGUACUUUUCUUCUUAACCCUUUAUAGACUGUGCUGCUGUUCUUGUUUAGAACAAUACUGAGAGAAAAAUAUAACACUGGCCUCUUGAAAACAAAACUUACUCAAAAUUCAGCGGAGGAAAAAGGAAAAAGGGGGGACGGGGGCAUUUGGGGAAUCACCAAUGCUAGAGUACAGCACAAAUAAUUCUAUCAAAGUGAGCAAAGUUGUUUUGGAGAUGAACUGUUGCAAAUGAAAGGAGAAGCAAAGCUUUAUUCAAACUGUGUAGGUGACCAUACAUACACCAGGCAAUGAAGCAUACACAAGACAAGGUGCAUGCCUCAAUGCCAUUUUCGUUUGUUUUCUCUGCAGCAAUGCGUGUUUGCUGGGGGAGGCUGGAACUUGUAACUCUCAUAUACCAACUAGCCAUCAGCUGCUCAGCCAUUAGAAUUAGUGGAACAAUUCUAGCAGUGACCCACUUCUUGCAGUUGCCCAUCUGCUACUAUGGAAACUGCAGUUCUCCUCAUAUUGAGCUCUCUUUGCUGCAACAUGUAUAAAAGACAAAAAAAAAAAAAUGAUGAUCACAAGAUCACAGGUACUCUACUGCUUUUUCCUGUCAGUGCACAUCUGUAUUUACUUUAUUUCCUGUUAGUUAAAACUUUCAACCGCAGAGAAGCAAUGGAAGAGUUCAACGGAGAGAGGAGUAUUUUAUUAUUUUACCCAGCAAUUUGGUGUCAUCUGCUUUGCAUCAGUGCUUUAUUUUAUCUACACUCUUAGCAAUUUUUUAGAGGGCAUGGGGACACACUUAACAUAUACUAGUUUCUCUGAAAAGACUAAGAUAAAGGGAAAAGUAAUGUACUGCUUGUCUCCAGCACCCUCCUGUAACUGUAUUGUCCUGAUGUUACCACAUAUCACACUGAGAGGCUGCAUCAUUAAAUUUUGGUGCAAGAUUGAAAUGCUUACAAAUUAUAAAGAGGCCUUAGGCACAGAAACAUGGUUUAGUGAGUUUAUGUUUCUUCAGCUCUAAAUUCAUUUAUGCUUUCUUCCUUAAACUUAAGAGCUGAGCUGAGAUGUACUUGACUUCUGCAGUCACCCAGUUUUAAAGGGGAUGGGAGAAAAAAUACCAGUUUUUCUCUUUCAGGUUAAUUACCUGUGCGUGAUGAAAAUGCUGUUGGAAUAAUAAAUGCUGAUGAGCAGAA